CCUACGGGGGGCAGCAGUGAGGAAUAUUGGUCAAUGGACGAGAGUCUGAACCAGCCAAGUAGCGUGAAGGAUGACUGCCCUACGGGUUGUAAACUUCUUUUAUCUGGGAAUAAAACAGGGUAUGCAUACCCUCUUGUAUGUACCAGAUGAAUAAGGAUCGGCUAACUCCGUGCCAGCAGCCGCGGUAAUACGGAGGAUCCGAGCGUUAUCCGGAUUUAUUGGGUUUAAAGGGUGCGCAGGUGGAAUGUUAAGUCAGUUGUGAAAGUUUGCGGCUCAACCGUAAAAUUGCAGUUGAAACUGGCAGUCUUGAGUGCGCUAGAAGUGGGCGGAAGUCGUGGUGUAGCGGUGAAAUGCUUAGAUAUCACGAAGAACUCCGAUUGCGAAGGCAGCUCACUGGACUGCAACUGACACUGAUGCUCGAAAGCGUGGGUAUCGAACAGGAUUAGAUACCCUUGUAGUC
rnacentral:rRNA from 1 species